ACAUCACAGUAUCUAAAGAUUAAAUACUCAGUUAUGGUGUCUGGGUUUGCCCCAGUUUUAUAAAUUGGUAUUACAAAAUUACAAAUUAUAGGGGUAUUAAUUAAGGGGGAGGGGAGUCAGGGGACAAAGCAAGGUGCACAUAAGUCCAUUGACCUUAUAACGGAGAGCCUGCACUUAUACAGGUUUGAUCCGGGUUUGCAUCCGCCCCCCACAGAUUUGCCCCCCAAAAUCAUCCCACGGACUCACAGCGCACCGCGUGUCCUCCCACACGCGAAUUAGACUCACUCGUGCGGAGGUAAUCCACUUCGCCCAAAAGGUUAUUCCCCCUUGGACUCUCACUCCUUUCUCUCUUUCUCGAAUUUCAACUUGAUUUGAACCUUCGACUUUUUGUUCUCAGAAUGCCCCCUUCGAGUUCCGGCAGUCAAUGCCGACGAUCGUUCCGUAGAUUUAUUUACCGGAGGAGCAAGGCCUUUGGCCUUUGUAACGAGUUAACCAAAGUCUUACCCACUUGUACUAUGAUCCCACAGGAGCAAGGCCUUUGGCCUUUGCAGCAGCAACAAGUGCUGAAGUUGUAUUGGGUGCAGAGGGAGGGACAGGUGCAGAUUAUGAACUAUCCUGGGAUACAUAUUGCUGUUGAAGCUGCAAGAAUGUUAAUCCAAACAUUCUGAGGAUUAAAAAGUGUCAAAGAUGAGGUUAAUCGGAUCAGAUGAGCCUGUAAGUCAA